CAUGCAAGUCGAGGGGCAGCAUGAUUGAAGCUUGCUUCAAUUGAUGGCGACCGGCGCACGGGUGAGUAACGCGUAUCCAACCUUCCGUACACUCAGGGAUAGCCUUUCGAAAGAAAGAUUAAUACCUGAUGGUAUGAUGAGAUUGCAUGAUAGCAUCAUUAAAGAUUUAUCGGUGUACGAUGGGGAUGCGUUCCAUUAGGUAGUAGGCGGGGUAACGGCCCACCUAGCCUACGAUGGAUAGGGGUUCUGAGAGGAAGGUCCCCCACAUUGGAACUGAGACACGGUCCAAACUCCUACGGGAGGCAGCAGUGAGGAAUAUUGGUCAAUGGACGAGAGUCUGAACCAGCCAAGUAGCGUGAAGGAUGAAGGUCUUACGGAUUGUAAACUUCUUUUAUAAGGGAAUAAAACCUCCCACGUGUGGGAGCUUGUAUGUACCUUAUGAAUAAGCAUCGGCUAACUCCGUGCCAGCAGCCGCGGUAAUACGGAGGAUGCGAGCGUUAUCCGGAUUUAUUGGGUUUAAAGGGAGCGCAGACGGGUCGUUAAGUCAGCUGUGAAAGUUUGGGGCUCAACCUUAAAAUUGCAGUUGAUACUGGCGUCCUUGAGUGCGGUUGAGGUGUGCGGAAUUCGUGGUGUA
rnacentral:rRNA from 1 species